rnacentral:snRNA from 1 species
GGACUGGGAACGGCUCUC